rnacentral:rRNA from 1 species
CCUACGGGUGACAGCAGUGGGGGAUAUUGCACAAUGGGGGGAACCCUGAUGCAGCGACGCCGCGUGGGUGAAGGAGCGUUUCGGCGCGUAAAGCCCUAUCAGCAGGGAAGAAGAUGACGGUACCUGGCCAAGAAGCCCCGGCUAACUACGUGCCAGCAGCCGCGGUAAUACGUAGGGGGCAAGCGUUAGCCGGAUUUACUGGGUGUAAAGGGGGCGCAGACGGCAAUGCAAGCCAGGAGUGAAAGCCCGGGGCCCAACCCCGGGACUGCUCUUGGAACUGCAUGGCUGGAGUACAGGAGGGGCAGGCGGAAUUCCUAGUGUAGCGGUGAAAUGCGUAGAUAUUAGGAGGAACACCGGUGGCGAAGGCGGCCUGCUGGACUGUGACUGACGUUGAGGCCCGAAGGCGUGGGGAGCAAACAGGAUUAGAUACCCCAGUAGUC